CAGCUGUCCUCUCUAGCUCCGGCUGUCCUGUCUGCCUGGGAUGUUUCUUCACUUGCCUAGUAAUUUGAGACUUCAGAGCAUCUCCAGACCCCUUCUCUCAUUCCCUCAGCACCCCCUGCACAGUAGGAAUCCAGUAAACAUUUGUUGCGGUGAAAUGACCCCAUAUGCAGAGGGCAACUGGUUGUGAAACUGCCAAGGUCAAGGGAGAAUGAGACGCUGCUCAAUGGUUGCCAAGGGCAACGCGGGACGCCGGCUGGCGAGGCUCUUUGUGCUCUCGGCGGGGCCUGCAGACUCCAGCCUCCGCGCGGGAUGAGGGCCGCGGGGGGAGGGGAAGCUGCAGACAGCGCGUGGGCGGCUGCGGAGAGCUCGAGGGGGGAGGGGCUCGAAAGCGUGGAAAAACCAAGUGUUUCUAGCUAAGGUGGAAGCACAAACACCGCGCAGGGUCGCCCCUCUUUAAGGCUCUUUUAGCCAAAGAUCUGGAUACUUCUUCCACAAUAGAGGAUAGUUAUGGGACAUGGUUGUUCACAGGGAUGAGAAUCUGUAGUUUAUUUUCAGGUUAAGUUAAUAUGCAAAUUGUGCAAAAUAUCACGUGGAAAUACAGGCAUUAUUGUUGCUUUAAAAGCUUUUAACUAGCAACAGAACAGCAGCCUUAAUUGCAAAGCACACACAUCAUUCUGUGAUUCUUCAUUCAUUUAACAAAUAUUUAAUAAGCACCUUAUGAGAAAAGCUGCAGAAGGUUUUGUGGAGGAUGGGAGGAUGACUAAGACCCAGUCCCGUUGUCAUGGAAACCAUUGUGACUCCUGCCAUCAGCCACCACCUGUUCUUAUUCCAGAUCUGAAAAUUAAGUCCUAGCACCUUUACAAAACAAUCACACACACAGUUUGACUUGGCUCCAAAAUGUCCCACCAAAUCCAUCAAAAUUAUUAUUUCCUUUUACAUGGGGGGAACAACACAAUAACCCUUUGUCCUUUGCUUUAAGUUGUUUUUCCAGGAAUGGAGAAAGGUUACCCUGAACUGUUCAUACUGGCUAGCUCUUUGCUUGUGAAUAAUAGCAUACAUCUGAGCUGUUUCAGGGUCUGGGCAGAUGACCCAUUCAACAACAUGGCGUGACACGCCCUUGUCCUUUCAGACUCCUCAGCAACCCACCCUUCCGGUCAAUUCUUGAGUCGUAUUGUCACUCAGAGCUGCUUGAUCUCCAGGAUCUUAAACUGGCUGUCUUCUUGCACGUUCAUGCCUCCUGAGUUUUAACUUCCUUGUUAUCUCCAAUCCUUCCACUCUUUGCAAUUACCAGUUUUUCUCCCCUCCACUAAAAUAAGGAAGAGCUUAGAGACUGCAUUGGAAGUGGGAGGAUAUUUAGAAUCUUUUGCAUAGCAAGCAGAGGCUUCUGGACACAUUACAACUUAGAAAGAUGUUUACCUGGUGCAGAGUAGGGGUGGUGUGGUGAUAGAGAUUAUGGGUAGAAUAAACAGGAGAAAGGAAAGCAGAGAGGGAGAUAAUAAGGGACUAAACUAAGGGGUUGUGAGAAAGAGGAAAAGAGAUUUAAAGACAGGAGAAGAGGUAAGGAGUGCAAGAGAUAGGAAGGACUCAAGGAUGGUUAUCAUUUUUAUACCUCAGAGACUGAAUAGAUAAUAGUGAUAAUGCAGUAAUCAAGUUAAAGUACAACGGAUGUCAAGAAAUCAAAAGAACAGAAAGUACAAGACCCAGUAGGUCGUCCAAGUUGGAAGCUCAGCUUCCAUUUAUCAGUGUUUGGACUGUCUGUAUGGUUGGCUCCCCUUUGUUGCAGAGGGAAUGGGAAUAUCAGGUUUCUUUGCCUCAGCAGUCAUUGUGGUUGUCAAAUUUGGGCUGCAUAUAAAGCAAUCAGAGAUAUUACAGAAAUGUGGCUACUCAGGUCCAAUUGUCAGAGAUGCUGACUCUUUGUGUCUGGGGUAGAAAUGUAGGAAUCUGUAAUUUAAAUGUGUCUUCCCCAACUCCCACCCCUGAGUCUGAUGCACAGGGUCCAAGGGCCACACCUUGAGAAACUAGAAGAGCCUUCUAUUAAUAUUUCCUUCCAUUUUGCCUCAGUGGAAUUUUUGGAAAGCUUAAAGCUAUAAAUCAAAAGUUUUUAACAUCAUGAGUUUCUCUUUAGGAUUUCUUUUGGGUCCUGCUAUAGCAAAACUGCUUCAAAAUUAAAGCAAGGUGCUUAUCCGCAAUAUAGAAAGUAGGUAAAUCACACAACAUAGUAAUUCAUAAAAGAAAAGCAUUUGAUAAACUGUGAAGAAAUAUCCAACUAGUAGGGAAAGAAAAAAUAAAACAAUUAGAUCCCGUUUUUUGACUAACAAAUAGAAAAAGUUUUGUUUUCUCUUUUUUUAAUGAUAAAUGCUAAGUGUUGGCUAACGAUUUGUGAGACAAGCAUGCUCAUACAUUGUGAGUGCAAAUACAAAGAAGUGAAAAGUAAUUCAAGAAUGGGUAUCAAAAAAGCCCUCUAAUUUUGAUAUGGGGAGAAUUCUUCCUAAGGAAGUAAUCAGGGGGUUGCACAAACAUUACACCCACAAAUGUUUACUGGAAUCUUAUUUUAAAUGAUGAAAAACUGAAACAACCUAAUUGAUCAUUAGUUUAAAAAUGAUUAAAUAAUGGCAUAUCCAUAAUGAGUAAUAUUAUGGAGCCAUUAAAAAAUACAUUUCAGAGAAUAAUGAAGGCAAUGGAGAGCUAACUGUUCCUGAUAGAGUAAAUGGAAAGAGCUGGAAACAACUUUUUAGUUAAUAGACUCCUGAUUUGUGUGGAGAAAAACAUAGGUAUUCACAUACACAAAAAAAUCUGAGCAAAAAUAUUUAAAAGGUAAACCAUCUCUAGAUUAUGGGAUACAGUUAUUUAUUUUAUUCUUUACACUUUGUGCAUUUUGCAAAUCUGCUUCA